CAGGGAGAAAGCUCUGCCUCUCUAAAAAAGCCUCCUUUCUUCUUCUUCUUCGUUUCCACUUCCCCCGAAGGCGUUCUCGUUCUCAGAGUUUGAAUCACCUCGAUCGCUAGGGUUUCGUGGACAUCUUCUCUCCCAAGCUUCAAUAGUCCGCGAAAAUGCCUCUCAGACUCGAAAUUAAGAGGAAACUUGCUCAGAGAUCAGAAAGAGUGAAGUCUGUGGAUCUGCACCCGACAGAACCAUGGAUUUUGGCGAGUUUGUAUUCAGGAACUGUGUGCAUCUGGAAUUACCAAUCACAGACCAUGGCUAAAUCUUUUGAGGUCACUGAGUUACCUGUUAGGUCAGCCAAAUUUAUCGCACGCAGGCAAUGGGUUGUUGCUGGAGCUGAUGACAUGUAUAUUCGUGUGUACAAUUACAAUACAAUGGAUAAGGUUAAAGUAUUUGAGGCACAUACAGACUACAUUAGGUGUGUGGCUGUUCAUCCUACACUUCCAUAUGUGCUGUCAUCGUCUGAUGAUAUGCUCAUUAAGCUCUGGGAUUGGGAAAAGGGUUGGAUUUGUACUCAGAUUUUUGAAGGACAUUCCCAUUAUGUAAUGCAAGUUACUUUUAACCCAAAAGACACCAACACCUUUGCAAGUGCUUCGCUUGAUCGCACCAUUAAGAUUUGGAAUCUGGGCUCACCAGACCCAAAUUUUACUUUGGACGCUCAUCAAAAGGGUGUGAAUUGUGUUGAUUACUUUACAGGUGGUGAUAAGCCUUAUCUAAUCACGGGUUCUGAUGAUCACACUGCCAAGGUUUGGGAUUAUCAAACAAAAAGUUGUGUUCAGACCCUAGAGGGCCACACACACAAUGUUUCUGCUGUAUGUUUCCAUCCCGAUCUUCCGAUAAUAAUAACAGGAUCUGAGGAUGGAACAGUUCGUAUUUGGCACUCAACCACCUAUAGGCUUGAGAACACAUUAAAUUAUGGCCUCGAGAGAGUUUGGGCUAUUGGAUACAUGAAAGGUUCACGCCGGGUUGUGAUUGGUUAUGAUGAAGGGACUAUUAUGGUAAAACUUGGCCGUGAAGUGCCUGUUGCUAGUAUGGACAACAGUGGAAAAAUUAUCUGGGCUAAGCAUAAUGAAAUUCAGACUGUGAACAUUAGGAGUGUGGGAGCAGAUUUUGAGGUUACUGAUGGAGAGAGAUUGCCUUUGGCUGUUAAGGAGUUGGGUACCUGUGAUCUUUACCCACAGAGUCUAAAACACAAUCCAAAUGGGAGGUUUGUAGUUGUAUGUGGAGAUGGUGAGUACAUUAUAUUUACUGCUUUGGCAUGGAGAAAUCGAUCUUUUGGUUCAGCUUUGGAGUUUGUGUGGUCCACUGAUGGAGAAUAUGCUGUCAGAGAGAGUACUUCAAAGAUUAAGCUUUUUAGUAAAACCUUCCAGGAAAAGAAGAGUAUUCGACCAACCUUUUCAGCUGAGCGCAUUUAUGGUGGAAAUUUAUUGGCAAUGUGCUCAAAUGAUUUUAUUUGUUUUUAUGAUUGGUCUGAAUGCAGGAUGAUUCGGCGAAUUGAUGUCAAUGUGAAAAACCUCUAUUGGGCUGAUAGUGGUGAUUUGGUAGCUAUUGCAAGUGAUACAUCGUUCUACAUCCUGAAGUACAAUCGUGAUGUGGUUUCUUCUUAUUUGGAUAGUGGAAGACCUGUAGAUGAACAAGGUGUUGAAGAUGCCUUUGAGCUUCUUCAUGAAAUGAAUGAACGUGUUAGGACUGGUCUAUGGGUUGGGGAUUGUUUCAUUUACAACAACUCCUCCUGGAGACUCAAUUACUGUGUUGGUGGUGAGGUAACCACCAUGUUUCAUUUGGAUCGGCCUAUGUACUUGUUAGGUUAUCUUGCUAGCCAAAGCAGGGUUUAUCUCAUCGACAAAGAGUUCAAUGUAAUGGGGUACACGUUACUCCUCAGUUUAAUUGAGUACAAAACUCUUGUAAUGCGGGGAGACUUUGAAAGGGCCAAUCAACUCUUGCCUUCGAUUCCCAAAGAGCACCAUAAUAGUGUGGCACAUUUCUUGGAAUCGCGAGGUAUGGUAGAAGAAGCACUUGAAGUGGCAACUGACCCUGAUUACAGAUUUGACUUAGCCAUACAGCUUAGUAGACUUGAUAUUGCAAAGGAAAUUGCCUCUGAAGUUCAAAGCGAGUCUAAAUGGAAGCAAUUAGGAGAGCUAGCAAUGUCUACUGGGAAGUUAGAGAUGGCUGAAGAGUGUUUGAAGCAUGCUGUGGACUUAAGUGGUUUGCUACUGCUCUAUUCUUCUUUAGGAGAUGCUGAAGGGAUAUCAGAACUUGCAGUUCUUGCCAAAGAGCAAGGAAAGAAUAACGUUGCAUUCCUUUGUUUAUUCAUGUUGGGUCGUUUGGAAGAAUGCCUUGAGUUGUUGGUGGAAAGUAAGCGGAUACCUGAGGCUGCUUUAAUGGCUCGAUCUUAUCUUCCAAGUAAGGUGUCAGAAAUUGUAGCUAUUUGGAGAAAAGAUCUAAACAAGGUUAAUCCUAAAGCUGCCGAGUCGUUGGCUGAUCCGGAAGAGUAUCCUAAUCUGUUUGAGGAUUGGCAAGUUGCUCUUUCUGUUGAGUCUAAAGCUGCAGAGACGAGGGGUGUUUACCCUGCUGCAGAGGAAUAUUUACACCAUGCUGACAAGUCACACAUGACCCUUGUUGAGGCCUUUAGGAACUUGCAAGUUGAUGAAGAGGAACUUCUUGAAAAUGGAGAUGCAAGUUACGAGUUCAAGGUUACUGAGCAGAAUGGUGAACAGAUUGUUGAGGAACAUAUAGUUGAGGAACAGAAUGGAGAAGAUGGGAGUCAAGAGGAGGCUGUGGUGGUGGAUGCUGAUUCUACAGAUGGUGCAGUACUCGUUAAUGGUAACGAGGCUGACGAAGAGUGGGGUACGAAUAAUGAAGGAAUCCCGUCAGCCUAAAAGGAAUUGGUUGGGCCAGUGUGAAAAUCCAAUUUUGUCUCUGUGCUGACACCAACCCACUAGGUUGCUGUGAAGAUUUUCGGUCCAGCCAUAUGGAUCCCUUACUUAGGUCUCCUGGAAAGGGCUGAAGAAGAGGUGAUUUUACGGACCGUAUGUCUCUGUUACCAAGUGGUGUGGCUUUUGUAGCAAGUUGCAAAUUUAUGACGGGCACAAUAUGAAUAGUUUUCAUAGCGUCAGUUAGUUUGCUUUUCGGAUCGCUUUUUUAGCAUAUUCUUUGAGGCCUUUCUUUCCCCUCCUAAAAGUUUUCUUGUGCCAUUGUGAAUGUAGAAAAGAAUUGAUCUAGCAUAAUUACCCAGUUAAAGGCUUAUUUUCCGAUUCUUCGAAAAUUUUCACCAUUUUGCUUUUCCCACAAGUUGUGUUUGUGGGGUUUUUUUUUCUUCUUUUUUAUAUCGACUCUGGGAUGUAAACAUCUGAUUAUAAAAAUAUAUGUUUCUCAAUAACAUGCCGAUUGCUGCUU